UACGUAGGGAGCAAGCGUUGUCCGGAAUCAUUGGGCGUAAAGCGCGCGUAGGUGGCCUCAUAAGUCCGCUGUGAAAGUCAAAGGCUCAACCUUUGAAAGCCGGUGGAUACUGUGGGGCUAGAGUACGGAAGAGGCGAGUGGAAUUCCUGGUGUAGCGGUGGAAUGCGCAGAUAUCAGGAGGAACACCGAUGGCGAAGGCAGCUCGCUGGGACGGUACUGACGCUGAGACGCGAAAGCGUGGGGAGCAAACAGG
rnacentral:rRNA from 1 species